rnacentral:rRNA from 1 species
GUGAUAUGGUCAAGCGAAUAAGCGCACACGGUGGAUGCCUUGGCAGUCAGAGGCGAUGAAGGACGUGACAGCCUGCGAAAAGUAUCGGGGAGCUGGCAAUAAGCUUUGAUCCGGUAAUGUCCGAAUGGGGAAACCCACCCGCAAGGGUAUUGCAUGGUGAAUACAUAGCCAUGCAAGGCGAACGCGGUGAACUGAAAUAUCUAAGUAACCGUAGGAAAAGAAAUCAACCGAGAUUCCGUCAGUAGCGACGAGCGAACGCGGACAAGCCCAAAAGUCGAUCUUGUUUUAGCAAAACACUCUGGAAAGGGUGGCCAUAGCGGGUGACAGCCCCGUAUGCGAAAGGGCCUGAUCGAUGAAAUUGAGUAGGGCGGGGCACGUGAAACCCUGUCUGAACAUGGGGGGACCAUCCUCCAAGGCUAAAUACUCCUGACUGACCGAUAGUGAACCAGUACCGUGAGGGAAAGGCGAAAAGAACCCUGGUGAAGGGAGUGAAAUAGACCCUGAAACCGUGUGCGUACAAGCAGUCGGAGCCCUUUGGGGUGACGGCGUACCUUUUGUAUAAUGGGUCAGCGACUUACUGUUCGUGGCGAGCUUAACCGUAUAGGGGAGGCGAAGGGAAACCGAGUCUGAAAAGGGCGACGAGUCGCUGGGAGUAGACCCGAAACCGGGCGAUCUAUCCAUGGCCAGGCUGAAGGUGGGGUAACACCCACUGGAGGGCCGAACCCACGUCUGUUGAAAAAGACGGGGAUGAGCUGUGGAUCGGAGUGAAAGGCUAAUCAAGCUCGGAGAUAGCUGGUUCUCCCCGAAAGCUAUUGAGGUAGCGCCUCGUGUCUCACUCCUGGGGGUAGAGCACUGUUUCGGCUAGGGGGCCAUCCCGGCUUACCAACCCGAGGCAAACUCCGAAUACCAGGAAGUGCAAUCACGGGAGACACACGGCGGGUGCGAACAUCCGUCGUGAAGAGGGAAACAACCCAGACCGCCAGCUAAGGUCCCCAAAUCAUGGCUCAGUGGGAAACGAUGUGGGAAGGCCCAGACAGCCAGGAGGUUGGCUUAGAAGCAGCCAUCCUUUAAAGAAAGCGUAAUAGCUCACUGGUCGAGUCGGCCUGCGCGGAAGAUUCAACGGGGCUAAAGCCAUGUACCGAAGCUGCGGAUGCUGUAAAGCAUGGUAGGGGAGCGUUCCGUAAGCCUGUGAAGGUAUCCUGUGAGGGGUGCUGGAGGUAUCGGAAGUGCGAAUGCUGACAUAAGUAACGAUCAUGCGGGUGAAAACCCCGCACGCCGAAUGCCCAAGGGUUCCUGCGCAACGUCAAUCGGCGCAGGGUGAGUCGGCCCCUAAGGCGAGGCCGAAAGGCGUAGUCGAUGGGAAACCGGUUAAUAAUCCGGUACUGAUGUGAACUGCGAUGGGGGGACGGAGAAGGCUAAGCCAGCCGGCGAUUGGUAGUGCCGGUUCAAGCAGGUAGGCAGAACGACCAGGAAAACCCGGCCGUUCAAUGCCGAGAUGCGACAACGAGCCCUUUGGGGCGAAGUGGCCCAUGCCCAGCUUCCAGGAAAAGCCUCUAAGCUUCAGGUUCACGUUAUCCGUACCCCAAACCGACACAGGUGGGCAGGGUGAAAAUCCUCAGGCGCUGGAGAGAACUCGGGUGAAGGAACUCGGCAAACUAGCACCGUAACUUCGGGAGAAGGUGCGCCCGCGGUACGUGAACGCCCUUGCGGCGGGAGCGGAAGCGGGCCGCAGUGACCAGGUGGCUGCGACUGUUUACUAAAAACACAGCACUCUGCCAAGACGAAAGUCGACGUAUAGGGUGUGACGCCUGCCCGGUGCCGGAAGGUUAAGUGAUGGGGUCAGCGCAAGCGAAGCUCUUGAUCGAAGCCCCGGUAAACGGCGGCCGUAACUAUAACGGUCCUAAGGUAGCGAAAUUCCUUGUCGGGUAAGUUCCGACCUGCACGAAUGGC